rnacentral:rRNA from 1 species
UACAGAGGCCCCAAGCGUUACUGAGAAUCACUGGGUUUAAAGGGUGCGUAGGUGGCGCGUUAAGUCCGUUGUGAAAGCCCUGGGCUCAACCCAGGAACUGCUUCGGAUACUGGCGCGCUUGAGGCUAGUAGGGGUCACUGGAACUGACGGUGGAGCGGUGAAAUGCGUAGAUAUCGUCAGGAACGCCAGUGGUGAAGACAGGUGACUGGGCUAGUUCUGACACUGAGGCACGAAAGCGUGGGGAGCGAACGGG